AUGUUUGGGCAGCGCGUGGGGUUCCUCAAGUUCAAAGCCGACAUCGUCGACGAGGAAACCAAAGCCAAGAUUCCAGGGAUUGUCUUUGCAAGAGGGCCUGCUGUUGCUGUGUUGAUUCUUUUGGAGUCCAAAGGGCAAACUUAUGCUGUUCUCACUGAACAGAAACGGGUUGUUGCCCACAGCACUCUGCGGCGACGUCUUCUUCUCCUCUCUUCGCGGGUGCUCGCCUGUCCAUGCUGCCACCCAUCAAUGUUGACAAGCCACCAUCUAAAAGGUUGUCCGAGGAGAAACUGCUGGUUUCGAACGCUAGCAAGCUCCUGGCAUGGACAAGACAGAAGUGGGAAGGCUAUUGCUGCUCCAUGCUCCCGGCUUGACUUAAAUAUAUGGACCUGA
rnacentral:rRNA from 1 species